AUUGAACGCUGGCGGAAUGCUUUACACAUGCAAGUCGAACGGCAGCGGACCUUCGGGUGCCGGCGAGUGGCGAACGGGUGAGUAAUAUAUCGGAACGUACCUUUCAGUGGGGGAUAACGUAGCGAAAGUUACGCUAAUACCGCAUAUUCUGUGAGCAGGAAAGCAGGGGAUCGCAAGACCUUGCGCUGAUUGAGCGGCCGAUAUCAGAUUAGCUAGUUGGUGAGGUAAAGGCUCACCAAGGCGACGAUCUGUAGCGGGUCUGAGAGGAUGAUCCGCCACACUGGAACUGAGACACGGUCCAGACUCCUACGGGAGGCAGCAGUGGGGAAUUUUGGACAAUGGGCGCAAGCCUGAUCCAGCCAUGCCGCGUGAGUGAAGAAGGCCU
rnacentral:rRNA from 1 species